rnacentral:rRNA from 1 species
UACGUAGGGUGCAAGCGUUGUCCGGAAUUAUUGGGCGUAAAGCGCACGUAGGCGGAUUGUUAAGUCAGGGGUGAAAUCCUGGAGCUCAACUCCAGAACUGCCUUUGAUACUGGCGAUCUCGAGUCCGGGAGAGGUGAGUGGAACUGCGAGUGUAGAGGUGAAAUUCGUAGAUAUUCGCAAGAACACCAGUGGCGAAGGCGGCUCACUGGCCCGGUACUGACGCUGAGGUGCGAAAGCGUGGGGAGCAAACAGG